GUCAGUGGUGCAUAUAGACAUAUUUCUGGGAGCUGUCCAUGAGCUCAUCGCUCUCCUGGCGAUAGCGGCAGCAGCGAGGGAAGGAGCCUUCUUUCUCCCGGAGCCGCUGCUAGAAUAAGCCCGGCCGUUCGCUCAUUCAGACACGCGCGGAGCGCGGCGCCUUCGGGAAGAGGCAGCCGCCCGCGCAGCCCCGCGGCCAAGGUCGCGCCCGACCCCCGCCCGCCAUGGCCCCGAAUCUCCCCACAGGGAGGUAGGUGGGCGCAGGCAGGGGCGAGGGGCUCAGUCCAGGACUCCGCGCGGGCGAGCAAAGGGGACAGCUGCCCCUUCCACUCCUGCGGCGGAGGAGCCCCGGCGCGUACACCCGGCGCGGCGGCUGCUGACGGGCCGCAGGCCCGGCGCUAAGGAGACUGAGGGGACGCGGGAGACCCGGGAGUGACAGGAGGAAGAAACCCGGGGCCGCAGGAAGAUGGCUUCUCCCACCUCCCCGGCCCCGGAAGGCGGGGCCUCCACCCCGCUGAACCCGCCGCGGAUUCGUCAGGUGGGUGCACAAAGUACGGGGA
rnacentral:lncRNA from 1 species